ensembl:lncRNA
CUGACUUAUUACAGCUGCUUUGACCAAGCUGGAAGACUCCAUCCACCCACAGAAACAGAAUGGGCAGAAUUAUCACCAAAAGAAAACCCGGAAGAGUGUGUGCUCUUACAAUGGACAAGGACCAGGGAUCGAAUUCAGGACCCUGCACUUGCAAGGCAGACAUGGUGCCACUGAGCUAAAUCCAUGUCCCUAUCUGAAACUUCUAUAAAAUAAGUGUCAUUCUGAUGUCACAAAUGAGGAAAUUGGAUUUCAGAGAGUAUAAGAGAUUGCCUGAACUGAGAUAGCUGGUAUAGACCUGAAGAUACUUCCUGAUACACUCUGCCUGCAAAUCUCUGUCUCUAAACCUGUUCUCAGGGGACUGGAUUUACGACACAUGCUAUUCUUCAACUCAGAGUACUUUCCCUGUCCAUCCUUUUUUGUGAGUUGAAUUAUCC